rnacentral:rRNA from 1 species
CUUGGUCAUUUAGAGGAAGUAAAAGUCGUAACAAGGUUUCCGUAGGUGAACCUGCGGAAGGAUCAUUACAUGAAUUACGGGGGUAGGACCCAAUGUACGCGUACUCCGUGUGCCCUGACCUGCCCUGUCUGAUUAUUCUACCCAUGUCUUUUGCGUACUUAUUGUUUCCUCGGCAGGCUUGCCUGCCGCUAGGACAUUAUAAAAACCUUUUGUAAUUGCAGUCAGCGUCAGAAAUAACUUAAUAGUUACAACUUUCAACAACGGAUCUCUUGGUUCUGGCAUCGAUGAAGAACGCAGCGAAAUGCGAUAAGUAGUGUGAAUUGCAGAAUUCAGUGAAUCAUCGAAUCUUUGAACGCACAUUGCGCCCCUUGGUAUUCCAUGGGGCAUGCCUGUUCGAGCGUCAUUUGUACCCUCAAGCUUUGCUUGGUGUUGGGUGUUUGUCUCGUGUUACGCGUAGACUCGCCUUAAAGCGAUUGGCAGCCGGCAUAUUGGCCUUGGAGCGCAGCACAUUUUGCGCUUCUAGUCAUGAAUGUUGGCGUCCAUUAAGCCUAUACAUUCGCUCUUGACCUCGGAUCAGGUAGGGAUACCCGCUGAACUUAAGCAUAUCAAUAAGCGGAGGA